AUGCUCCAAUCAGACGCUGCGUUCUGCACGCCCAGCCUCACGCGACGGCUCCUCACCUGUCUGUUGGCGACGCAUUGCUGCGCUUUCACACCCAAACUGUUUGUUGUGGUUGAAACAAGCCCCGGUGUGUUUUCCCUUGCAGCGCCCGGCGUGAAAGCUGCCACUCACGCUCAGGUGUGGGCUAAACAAGGUCUGGUUCUCUUCACUGCACAAACUGUGCAAACCAGUCAGUGCGGUCACAGAGGUACACGUGUGAAUCCGAGAGAUGUUGCUAUGUACCACUUUUCACUUGUUACCCCAAAUACAUAUAUAUUUGUCUUAUACUGUGGAACGUAAGUAUUUCAACAUCUGAGAAAUGUCCACCUCUUCUCCACUCAAUAAGCUAAAUUAGUAGCACCUAUCUGAGCUCUUUAAAGACACCUGUCUACCCCACAGUCAGCCAGACACCAACUACUACAAUGGGCAAGACCAAGCUGUCAAAAGCCAUCAGAGACAACAUUGUGGACCUCCACAAGGCUGGAAAGGGCUAAUGCCAAGCAGCUUGGUGAAAACAGAUCAACUGUUGGAGCAAUUAUUAGAAAAUGGAAGAUGCUAAAGACGACUGUCAAUCCCCUUCGGACUGGGGCUCCAUGCAAGAUCUCAACGCGGGGGUAUCACUGAUGAUGAGAAAGGUGAAGAAUCAGCCUGGAACUACAAGGGAGGAGCUGGUCAAUGAUAUGAAGAGAGCUUGCACAACAGUUUCAAAGGUCACUGUCAGUAGAACACUACGGCGUCAUGAUUUCAAAUCAUGCAUGGCACGGGCAGUUCCUCUGCUUAAGUCAUCACAUGUCCAGGCUCACCUGAAGUUUGCCAAAGAACAUCUAGAUCACAUGUGUCGAGCGCCAGUCCUCGAGGGCUGGUGUCCCUGCUAGUUUUCCAGCUCUCUCUGCCGAUUACCUUGAUCAGGCAUGUCAGUUGACUUUUCCAGCUUGUCAUUGACUGAACACAUCUGGUCAAGGUAAUCAGUAGGAGCUCGGGCGGGGAGAGGUGGAAAAGCAGCAGGGCAGCGGCACUCGCCGGUAUCACUUUGACACCCCUGAUCUAGAUGAUCCAGAGGAGACCUGGGCGAAGAUCAUGUUGUCAGAUGAGACCAAAAUAGAACUUUAAAAACUUUUUUUUAAUUCUGUCCCACACCUACAACGUGAAUUUCAGAACCCUCCAUGAUUUGUAAGUGGGAGAACUUAUAUAUAUAUACACAGUAUAUAUAUAGUAAUUGACUGGUUUGUUUAAAAAACAACCUUUCGGUGAGGUCGUUGCUGUUAGCCUCAUAACAUUUACUUAUAUAUAAUUGUAUGGAUAUUGCAGAGAGAAGAAAAUGAUCCCUCAGUGAAGCACUUGUCAUCUUAUGAUGUAUCACUAAAACCUUUUCUGGCUGUGGGAGUGUGAUGUGAUGUGAAGACACUGCGUCAUGUGUCAGGAAAAUACAGUUUGAUAAAGCAAUUAUACACUCUCAUGCUAUAAGCCAAGGAGGGCAGAGUGUUAGGACUUGUGCUGUCUGCUGGUUCUAACUGGUUCACACGCUGACACACACAAGGCUCAGUGAACAGAGACAACAGCUCACGUCACUGUUAACCUCACAGGCAAGAGGAGCUGGCACCUACUCACACAGAGACAGGACAUCAUGCACUGAAUAAUUACACAAAGCCCAUUUGACAUGAAUAACUACCUACCUCAGAUCUGCAUAUAAAAUUUGAUUAGAUCUCAAUAUCAAGAGUAAAUUCUUCACCUCACUGAUGCUCCAUGAAUUGUGUCUUUCACAGACAUAAACAAAAUCCAUUUCUGUAAUAAUUUGAAGAGUAAGUUCUAUCUGCUUUAGUUCCACCUGAAUACAUGCGUUACAUGUUGGGACAUCUGCAGACAUGAAACUUAGUUGGGUCAAAGUUGAUUUGGAACUGUGACAAAGGUCUUCUCCUCUAAAUAAGUCUUAAUAAACAGUGAGCUUGUUUACGUGGAAUAAGAUGU
rnacentral:lncRNA from 1 species